GUAAAAAAAGACCUGCUUCUCCUGGUGUUGUAUCCUUGCUGGACGGAGAUGGUGAAGAUGCUGGAGGCGGCCAAGCCAGCACAGUAUGGGGUAGAUUUGACAAGGGACAAGAAAAGAAGGCCACCUCCCCUCCAGACAUUCCGAUCAGAGAAAAGAGACAAUUUGAAGCCAACCCAAAGAGACGUCCAAGACCUUGUCUGGGCUGCCUAUCUGUAAUAUCAGCUAAAAAGGAGGCUCCUGUAACACAUACAGCUGAUCCUGUCCUAAUGUGAAGGUGGAUCCAACAAGUGACGUCGUGAUCCUGCCAGUCGAAGUGCAGAAAAAUCACAGUCAAAUGCAUGUUGGCCUGAUAACCAAAUAUUGUUCUUUUUUUUUUUUUUUUUUUAAUCCUGCGCUAGUAAAUCAUGUAUCUGUGUCAGGAUAGCAUAUACAGCAUGCUCAUGCCUAAGUAAACAAACAUUUUAAGAACAUAAGAAAGUUUACAAACGAGAGGAGGCCAUUCGGCCCAUCUUGCUCUUUUGGUUGUUAGUAGCUUAUUGAUCCCAGAAUCUCAUCAAGCAGCUUCUUGAAGGAUCCCAGGGUGUCGGCUUCAACAACAUUACUGGGGAGCGGGUUCCAGACCCUCACAAUUCUCUGUGUAGAAAAGUGCCUCCUAUUUUCUGUUCUGAAUGCCCCUUUAUCUAAUCUCCAUUUGUGACUCCUGGUCCUUGUCGAAAAAGUCCCCUGGGUCGACAUUGUCAAUACCUUUUAGCAUUUUGAAUGCUUGAAUCAGAUCACCGCGUAGUCUUCUUUGUUCGAGACUGAAUAGAUUCAAUUCUUUUAGCCUGUCUGCAUACGACAUGCCUUUUAAACCCGGGAUAAUUCUGGUCGCUCUUCUUUGCACUCUUUCUUGAGCAGCAAUAUCCUUUUUGUAACGAGGUGACCAGAACUGAACACAAUAUUCUAGAUGAGGUCUUACUAAUGCAUUGUAAAGUUUUAACAUUACUUCCCU